CGGACGCCCGCACUUCCUGGUCGGAGCGGGCCUAGCGGUGGCGGGGUCCCAACAGAGUCCCCGGGGGCUACGCUUGUUACUCCGCUCCUUCUCCUGGGAGCGCUGGGGGCGGAGCCCGGCCAGCGCGCGGAGCUCCCGCCCCUCUCCCGGCGGUCACCUGGGGCCGGGCGCAGCAGGUGUCUGGUCCCGCGCCCAGCGCCGGGGACGCGGAGCACGAUCCGGAGCCCCGCCGCGCCGGGUGGCCCCAGGAGGUGGCGGCAGGGCCGAUCCCCUGAAUUCCAGAGGCGACCGCAAGGACACAGCCCGCGGAGGAAGGUCCUGCAGGCCGAAGACGUGCAAAUGACUCUGGACUGGAAUCUUUUUGUGGUAUCCGCGGUAUGGAAUUAUUGGGAAUUGCCAAUAGAGAUCAGCCUGGCCGCUCUGAGAAUCGCGGCCACGGGGAACCUGCGGUUUAAACACUGUUGAAGAGACAUGACGCAGUAAUGCAGUGUGCGAACGUUGGUUGGAUCCUGAUUUGAAGGGGAAAAGUUCACCAAAAAUUGAGCUGAUAAGGACUUUUUAUUGGUUAGUUGAUAGUAUUAAUAUUAUUUUUGUUAUUUUUGGUAAUGGUGUUACGAUUUUUAAAAA
rnacentral:lncRNA from 1 species